UCCGGUUGAUCCUGCCGGACCCCACUGCUAUCGGGAUAGGACUAAGACAUGCUAGUCGAGUGGCUCAGCCAAUACGAGCCACGGCAUACAGCUCAGUAACACGUGGCUAAUCUGCCCUUAGGACGAGAACAACCCCGGGAAACUGGGGCUAACUCUCGAUAGGCGAAGAACUCUGGAAUGAGUCUUCACCCAAAUAGUUCAGCGUUACGCUCGUUGAACCGCCUAAGGAUGAGGCCGCGACCGAUCAGGUUGUUGGUGAGGUAAUGGCUCACCAAGCCUUUUACCGGUGCGGGCCGUGAGAGCGGGAGCCCGGAGAUGGGCACUGAGACAAGGGCCCAGGCCCUACGGGGCGCAGCAGUCGCGAAAACUUUGCAAUACACGAAAGUGUGACAGGGCUAUCCCGAGUGCCAUCCGCUGAGGAAGGCUUUUUACCCAGUCUAGAAAGCUGGGGGAAUAAGGAGAGGGCAAGUCUGGUGUCAGCCGCCGCGGUAAUACCAGCUCUCCGAGUGGUGUGGAUGUUUAUUGGGCCUAAAGCAUCCGUAGCUGGCUAAGUUAGUCCCUUGUUAAAUCCACCGAAUUAAUCGUUGGAUUGCGGGGGAUACUGCUUAGCUAGGGGACGAGAGAGGCAGACGGUAUUUCCGGGGUAGGGGUGAAAUCCUAUAAUCCCGGGGAAGACCACCAGUGGCGAAGGCUGUCUGCUAGAACGCGCCCGACGGUGAGGGAUGAAAGCUGGGGGAGCGAACCGGAUUAGAUACCCGGGUAGUCCCAGCUGUAAACGAUGCAAACUAGGUGUUUGAACGGCCACGUGCCGUUCUAGUGCCGCAGGGAAGCUGUUAAGUUUGCCGCCUGGGGAGUACGAUCGCAAGAUUGAAACUUAAAGGAAUUGGCGGGGGAGCACCACAAGGGGUGAAGCUUGCGGUUUAAUUGGAGUCAACGCCGGAAAUCUCACCGGGAGCGACAGCAGUGUGAAGGCCAGAUUAAAGGUCUUGCCAGACGAGCUGAGAGGAGGUGCAUGGCCGUCGCCAGUUCGUGCCGUGAGGUGUCCUGUUA
rnacentral:rRNA from 1 species